GCACCUAACAAAGACUAUAGCCUCCACUGUAUUGUGAUCAUCAAACCCUAAACAGGCGGAUGAAAAUCAAGAUUUUGUUGCGGAAAUUCGGAAACAAAUUGAUCGAGGAGUAGUGGCUAUUAUGAUGAAUUUCUUGCUGAUUUGAAGGCUCAGGCAGUGGAAGAGUCAAAAAUCAGGAAGGAAUUAUCUAUUGAUUCGAUGAAAAUUAAGGACAUGCUUCAAAAAUGUAACUUCAAGGGUAAGCAUUCAGCAUCAAAAUACCAUUUUACAUUCAUUGAUACUGAAUCUGUUGAGAAGAAGAGGUUUGGGAGUUGGGGGAUUUGGCAUUGAAGGAAUUGAUUUCAUCAUCAUCACUAGUUAAAGAAGAAGAGGAAGAAAUAGUGGAAAUUGGGGCUAUGGAGGAGAAUUCAUUACCACCACUAGUUAAAGAAUCAGUUGUUGGUGGUGGUGGUGUUAAUGUGGGUUCUGGAAAGUCUUUGAUACUGGUGGGAAUGAUAUCUUUGCUACUGAGUCUGGGAUCAAGUGACAAUCUGGUCGGCCGAACCUCGGUGAUGGAGAAAUUACUUUUAUGUUGAGUUGUAUGCCUGGUCAUAUUUUAUCUAUCAUACACGGGAUGUAUGUAGUAAAGGAGUAUAACAUUGACAGGGCGUCUCGUCAGACGAGCUUUGAUCAGGGUGUCCCCUCUUGUCGGACUGUGGAACCCCUGUGCAAGAAAUGGAGUUGUUCAAAGUUAACCCUCUGUGGACGGUUUUCUAUUCGCAUUUCCUGUUUCUAUGUCCGGGCAGAACGACAUUUGUGACUCUGGAUUAUGAGGUUUUCGAGUUACGUUUUGAGUUCCACUGACAAGAAAGGGAGUUGUUCAAAGUUAACCCUCUGUGGACGGUUUUCUGUUCGGAUUUUUUGAAUUCGGAUGGCGCUUUCUUUGCUUCAAGUGAUGAUUGGAUUUCUCUUGCAGUCUCUAAUUGUGAACCUAAGCAGAAUAAGAGGAAGUCUUCAUUCAUUUUCAUCUGAUAUGGAGGCAGAUUUGUUUGUAUCGGGUAAUGAUUGGACUCCUCAAGUCCUUGAACCUAAACAUAAGAAGAGGAAGUUGUCAACCAAGGAUCCUACUUAUGACCCUAAUAGUGAACUACAAGGUGCCACUGUGGAUUCGGAGAAUGAGAUUGAUGCAUCAUCUUGUGCUGCAACUGUAUUGGUUCUUGCGUCGGAUAAAUGUUACAGAGAAGAAUGGGCCAGAGUCAUGAUAUGGACUGGUUCAAAUGGUUGGAAUUUAGAGUUUCCUGACAGAGAAGAUUGGUACAUUUUUAAGCACCGUAAGGAGUGUAUUCAUGGGAACUUGAAGGCUGUUUUGGCGAAGGCAGUCUAUGUUCCUUCUGUUUGGGAAGUACCAGCUUUGGCAAAGGCAAUCCCUGUACCUAUUUUUGGUGAAGUACAAGACUAUGUGAACUGUGAUUAUUGCCAUGUGUACAUAACCAUGGAAUAGAUAAGUUUGCAACUUAUGAUGCUGAUUCAGGUGAAGAAGAAUGGUUGGGAAAACUAACUGAUGGUCAUUGUGGAGAAAAUAGUGUCUCUUUGGAGAAGUUCGAGGAAAUUACUGAUGCGUUUGAGAAGACUGCCUUUUGUAACCCUGAUAACAAAAUCAAUCAGAGCUGGGCUAUCGUUCUUUGCUCAGGUACAGGGACGGACACGUGGUGGAUGUCUAUAAAUAUUGGCCGCAAAAACAGAAGCAGAAACGAUCUUCUCAGCUAAUAGUUUUCCAGGCUCGACCGCUAAAGAAGGUUCAGUCUACUCUCAACAAGCUCGUACUACUUAAAAAACGAUCAAUUACGAAGAAAAGCGAACAUCGUGAUAGAGGUGCACGCAAUUUUUUUUUCCAAGGUUGUCGGUCAGUCCAAAAAGAGAAAGAUUCAGUCUAAAAAGCGAAAUUUAAGUAUAGAAGAGCCUCGCCCCUGUGAGGAAGGCAAGGGAGGUGGUAAUUAUGAACCUGAACAUCUGCCUUGGUCAAAACUAUGAUGCCUGCCAUCCCCAUCCUUCCGACCCAGUACUUUGGGGAAAAACAGAAUCAGAAUGACAUACCAUACACCAGUGUGAAGGACUUAAGUGGCAAUGAUGUAUACAUAAGGAAUUUAUCAUCUUGUUCUGAAGAGCCCACUACGGGAGAAUCGCUUGAAGUGGGUGAGCUUGUUGAGGAACCUGCAGAUGCUACAGUGGGUACGUCCUGUUCAAAGUGCCGUACUCCUGAUUCAACCUUGUUAACUAUACCGACUUCUGUAGAUGGCAUUCCUUCCCUCACAGGGUCUACAAGUGCUUCAGCUCUAGAGAGAGUCGAGGGAUUUGAAUUUACUGACAUCUUCAAGAUCCCACAAGAGAACGAGAAUGACACCAUUGAAUGGCAAGGACAUACAUAUAGGGAAUUCAUCAUCUUGCUCUGAAGAGGAAACUACGGGAAUUGGACCAGUUGAAGUGUUUGAGCUUGUUAAGGAACCUAUGGACCCUACAAGGAAUGCAUCCUCUUCUAACUGCCUGAUUCCCACCUUGUUAACUGUAUCCACUUUUGUAGUUGUCACUCCUUCCCUGAUAAGGGUGUACAAGCGUUUCCGCUCGAGAGAGUGUGGAAGGCUCUGAAUUCCUGGGCAACUUCAAGAUUCUAGAAGAGUAUAUAACUUUGUACAAGAAGAUCUAUGAUAAGUACGGGCAUAUGGCAACUAAAGAAGACAUCCAGAGUUCAAUGAUGCUAUGUUAUUCACAUGUGUCACCAGUUUAUUGAAGAUCAUCUCGGAUAUGGAAACUGUGCGAGGUGCUGAACUGAGUGUAGCAUUGCUGGAGAGAUGGGAAGGGUUCAUCAGAGAUGCUGAGACUUUGGAAUUUUAUAGUAAGUGGCUUCGUGAAGGAUUUAGUCGACUUAAGAACCAUUGGAAAUCUUCAUUCAGGGAAGUAUAGAUAUUGAAAGUCGUGAACAACUGAACAAGUAUUGAAUGCAAUGCAGGGCCUCCUGACAAAAAAGAGGAACUUGAAACUGAACUUUCAGAGGUAAAAUAUUCAUGAUAGGGAAAGCUGAAGCGACGAUUUUAUCUGAGCAAGAAGCUAUUCAAGAAAAGCAGACUCAGAAAAUCAAAUUUCAGCAUGAACCUGAUCUAGAUAUAGUGCUUCAUGAGGUAGAAAAUCAAACUUUUCUCGAUGUGAGUUAUAAAAUCCAGAAGCAAUUUAAGUGGGCCUGAGAAAUUUGGCCUCAGUACGCCAGAUAUUGUGAAAAGAAUGAUUUUUUGGGCACUACUCAAAAAUGGUGGGGACUACUAAGUGAUAAAAAUAUCUAUCCUAUAGUUAUAA